UACGUAGGGGGCAAGCGUUGUCCGGAUUUAUUGGGCGUAAAGAGCGUGUAGGCGGUUAGGUAGGUCCGUUGUGAAAACUCGAGGCUCAACCUCGAGACGCCGAUGGAAACCAUCUGACUAGAGUCCGGAAGAGGAGAGUGGAAUUCCUGGUGUAGCGGUGAAAUGCGCAGAUAUCAGGAAGAACACCCGUGGCUAAGGCGGCUCUCUGGAACGCAACUGACGCUGAGACGCGAAAGCGUGGGGAGCAAACAGG
rnacentral:rRNA from 1 species